rnacentral:rRNA from 1 species
AUUGAACGCUGGCGGCAGGCUUAACACAUGCAAGUCGAACGAGUGGCGGACGGGUUAGUAAUGCCUGGGAACCUAGCUUAUGGAUGGGGAUGCCUACGGGCAACCGUAGCUAAUACCGCGUUCCAUAGCUUGAGCCCAAGUGGGAUUAGGUAGUUGGUGAGGUAAAGGCUCACCAACCCGACGAUCCCUAGCUGGUCUGAUAGGAUGACCAGCCACACUGUGAAUGAGACAGGGCCCAGACUACUACGGGAGGCAGCAGUGGGGAAUAUUGCGCAAAGGGGGCAACCUGACGGAGCCAUGCCGCGUGAUGUAAGAAGGCUUUCGGGUUGUAAAGUUCUUGCGGUAGCGAGGCGUUAACAACAGAAGAAGCACAGGCAAACUCCGGGCCAGCAGCCGCGGUAAUAC